rnacentral:rRNA from 1 species
GAUGAACGCUGGCGGCGUGCUUAACACAUGCAAGUCGAGCGAGAAGUUUUGAAAAGAUUCUUCGGAUGAAAUUUAAAAUGGAAAGCGGCGGACGGGUGAGUAACGCGUAGGCAACCUGCCCCAUACAAAGGGAUAGCAUUUGGAAACGAAUAUUAAUACCUUAUGAAACUUAACUAGUGCAUGCUAGGUAGGUCAAAGAUUUAUCGGUAUGGGAUGGGCCUGCGUCUAAUUAGCUAGUUGGUGAGGUAACGGCUCACCAAGGCGACGAUCAGUAGCCGACCUGAGAGGGUGAACGGCCACAUUGGAACUGAGACACGGUCCAAACUCCUACGGGAGGCAGCAGUGGGGAAUAUUGCACAAUGGGGGAAACCCUGAUGCAGCAACGCCGCGUGAACGAUGAAGGCCUUUGGGUCGUAAAGUUCUGUUCUAGGUGAUGAAAACUGACAGUAACCUAGGAGAAAGCCCCGGCUAACUCCGUGCCAGCAGCCGCGGUAAUACGGAGGGGGCAAGCGUUAUCCGGAAUUAUUGGGCGUAAAGGGUACGUAGGUGGCCUUUUAAGCGUAGGGUAUAAGGCAAUGGCUCAACCAUUGUUCGCCCUAUGAACUGGAAGGCUUGAGUGCAGGAGAGGAAAGCGGAAUUCCUAGUGUAGCGGUGGAAUGCAUAGAUAUUAGGAGGAACAUCAGCGGCGAAGGCGGCUUUCUGGACUGCAACUGACACUGAGGUACGAAAGCGUGGGGAGCAAACAGG